AGCGAACGCUGGCGGCAGGCCUAACACAUGCAAGUCGAACGGACCCUUCGGGGUUAGUGGCGGACGGGUGAGUAACACGUGGGAACGUGCCUUUAGGUUCGGAAUAGCUCCUGGAAACGGGUGGUAAUGCCGAAUGUGCCCUUCGGGGGAAAGAUUUAUCGCCUUUAGAGCGGCCCGCGUCUGAUUAGCUAGUUGGUGGGGUAAUGGCCCACCAAGGCUACGAUCAGUAGCUGGUCUGAGAGGAUGACCAGCCACAUUGGGACUGAGACACGGCCCAAACUCCUACGGGAGGCAGCAGUGGGGAAUAUUGGACAAUGGGCGCAAGCCUGAUCCAGCCAUGCUGCGUGGAUGAUGAAGGUCUUAGGAUUGUAAAAUCCUUUCACCGGUGAAGAUAAUGACUGUAGCCGGAGAAGAAGCCCCGGCUAACUUCGUGCCAGCAGCCGCGGUAACAC
rnacentral:rRNA from 1 species